GGGUUUUCUAACUAUUAUAGACGCUUUAUUAAAGGGUUUUCUUCUAUUGUAGCACCUAUAACACACAUGACUAAAAAGGAUGUCAAUACUCGUGUCUGGUCCCCAGAGGCGCUUGAGGCCUUUGAAUUUCUUAAAAUGUUUGCCUCUGCUCCUAUAUUACAGCAUCCUGUCCCUUCUUUGCCUUAUAUUCUUGAAGUUGAUGCUUCGGAUAUUGGGGUAGG